AUUGAACGCUGGCGGCAGGCCUAACACAUGCAAGUCGAGCGAGCGGCGGACGGGUGAGUAAUGUAUGGGGACUGCCCGAUAGAGGGGGAUAACUACUGGAAACGGUAGCUAAUACCGCAUACUAUCGGAUAACCCAGAUGGGAUUAGCUCGUAGGUGAGGUAAUGGCUCACCAGGGCGACGAUCCCUAGCUGGUCUGCGAGGAUGAUCCGCCACACUGGGACUGAGACACGGCCCAGAAUCCUACGGAGGCAGCAGUGGGGAAUAUUGCACAAUGGGCGCAAGCCGGAUGCAGCCAUGCCGCGUGUAUGAAGAAGGCCUGAGGGUUGUAAAGUACUUUAAGUCGGGAGGCGUUACCGACAGAAGAAGCACCGGCUAACUCCGUGCCAGCAGCCGCGGUAAUAC
rnacentral:rRNA from 1 species